CCUCUCUACUGUCAAAAAGACUGCCAGAGUUUUCCAACGCAGAGAUGUUUGAGAGAAUCUCAUCAGCAUAAAGCUUUCUGGGUGCUACUUUUCUUGAGAUAGACUCCAUGGCCUUGCUAUCUUUUUUACCAACCUUUGAAUUUGAACAUGGCAGAUCUGACCUGAGUUGAAGCACCCUCACCAACACCGAAAGAAAGUUAUUAAGAGACCAAAGGGGGAAAGAAAAACAAUGGCUGUCCCUAUGAGAAAGAGAGUUUUAGCUAGGAAUAGACUUUCCUGUGCACCUUAACACCCUAUCACUCCUGAAAAGCAACUAUUACAAAUGAAAAUGAGUUUUGGGUAAUAACAAAGAUAAAUUAGAGAGUCUUGGUAAAUUCUGACCAGAAGAGGAAAAGCAAAUAUCCAGAGCAAGAAGUGAUAUUUCUGUUACAGUGAAGUUUUCCUGAUUCUGUCAAAAUUUCUGAUUGAAUGUUUUAUUCCUCGAUUGUUUCCUGAAUUAUUUCAGAGUAAAUGGCAAUGGCUUUUUCCUAGCCAAUAAAGAUGUUAAAACAUGA